rnacentral:tRNA from 1 species
UACAUUUUAGUAUAAGAGGUACAGAAAUUUUUGAUGUUUCUAGGAAUAGUUUAAUUCUAUUAAAUGUAA